rnacentral:rRNA from 1 species
UGGGGAAUAUUGGACAAUGGGCGCAAGCCUGAUCCAGCCAUGCCGCGUGAGUGACGAAGGUCUUCGGAUUGUAAAGCUCUUUUGGCGGGGACGAUAAUGACGGUACCCGCAGAAUAAGCCCCGGCUAACUUCGUGCCAGCAGCCGCGGUAAUACGAAGGGGGCUAGCGUUGUUCGGAAUCACUGGGCGUAAAGCGCACGUAGGCGGACCUAUAAGUCAGGGGUGAAAUCCCGGGGCUCAACCUCGGAACUGCCUUUGAUACUGUGGGUCUCGAGACCGGAAGAGGUGAGUGGAAUUCCUAGUGUAGAGGUGAAAUUCGUAGAUAUUAGGAAGAACACCAGUGGCGAAGGCGGCUCACUGGUCCGGUUCUGACGCUGAGGUGCGAAAGCGUGGGGAGCAAACAGG